UUUAAUGAGAGUUUGAUCCUGGCUCAGGACGAACGCUGGCGGCGUGCCUAAUACAUGCAAGUAGAACGCUGAGGUUUGGUGUUUACACUAGACUGAUGAGUUGCGAACGGGUGAGUAACGCGUAGGUA
rnacentral:rRNA from 1 species